AGAAGAUACUAAGGGCGCACGGCGGAUGCCUUGGCACAGGAAGUCGAAGAAGGACGCGGCAAGCUGCGAUAAGCUCCGGGGAGGCGCAAACGGCCUUCGAUCCGGAGAUCUCCGAAUGGGGGAACCCAGCAGGGGUCAUGCCCUGCUACCCGCGCCUGAAUGAAAUAGGGCGCGAGGAGGCAACCCGGGGAACUGAAACAUCUAAGUACCCGGAGGAAGAGAAAUCAACCGAGAUUGCGGGAGUAGCGGCGAGCGAAACCGCACCAGCCCAAACCCAUGCACGUGCAAGCUUGAGGGCGUUGCUGCAUGAGGGGUUGUGGGACCGCGCAUUCCAUGGGCCUCAGACCAUGGACGCAGUUACAAAUCCGCGCGGAAGCGGAACGGCCUGGGAAGGCCGGCGGAACAGGGUGAGAGCCCCGUACGCGAAUCCGCGCGGACUGCGAGUGCGGCACCCGAGUAGCGCCGGGCACGUGAAACCCGGUGCGAACCUGGGGGGACCACCCUCCAAGGCUGAACACUCUCCUGUGACCGAUAGCGAACCAGUACCGUGAGGGAAAGGUGAAAAGCACCCCGAGAGGGGAGUGAAACAGUACCUGAAACCGUGCGCCUACAAGCAGUCGGAGCCCCCGAGCGGGGUGACGGCGUGCCUUUUGUAGAAUGAGCCAGCGAGUUGCGGUAUGCGGCGAGGUUAAGGUUUGAACCGAGCCGCAGUGAAAGCGAGCCUUUAAGAUGGCGAUAGAGUCGCAUGCUGCAGACGCGAAGCCGGGUGAGCUAUCCAUGGGCAGGCUGAAGCGGGGGUAAGACCCCGUGGAGGGCCGAACCCACUUCGGUUGAAAACGGAGGGGAUGACCCGUGGAUAGGGGUGAAAGGCCAAUCAAACCCGGAGAUAUCUCGUUCUCCCCGAAAUAGCUUUAGGGCUAGCCUCGGCCGUUCUCCGACGGCGGUAGAGCACUGGAUCGUCGAGGGGGCUUCACCGCCUACCGACACGAACCAAACUCCGAAUGCCGCCGGAUCAGAGGCCGGGAGUCAGAACAUGUGGGCUAAGCUGUGUGUUCGAGAGGGAAACAGCCCAGACCGCCCGCUAAGGUCCCCAAGUUUAUGCUGAGUGGCAAAGGAUGUGCGUUUGCCUAGACAACCAGGAUGUUGGCUUAGAAGCAGCCAUGCAUUUAAAGAGUGCGUAACAGCUCACUGGUCAAGUGGACAUGCGCCGACAAUUCACGGGGCUAAGCAUAACACCGAAGCGGCGGACUAAUCUAUAUUAGUGGUAGGGGAGCUUUCCCCGCAGCGGAGAAGCCGAGAGGGCGACCCUCGGUGGAGCGCGGGGAAGUGAGAAUGCUGGCAUGAGUAACGAGAGCGGCGCGAGAAACGCCGCCGCCGUAAGCCUAAGGGUUCCUGGGCAAGGCUAAUCCUCCCAGGGUCAGUCGGGAGCUAAGGCGAGGCCGAGAGGCGUAGCCGAUGCGCAACAGGCGGACAUUCCUGUACCGCCUGCGGACCGCUAUCACCGACGGGGUGACGGAGAAGGGUAGCCGAGCGGGGUUCUGGACGUCCCCGUGAAAGCGCGUAGGGAGCAUCGCAUGGAAAUCAGCGGUGCAUGUAUCCUGAGACGCGAGACGAAAGCUUAUGCUGAAGUCGGCGAGCCCAUGCUUCCGAGAAAAACCUCUAGGAAGGGACGCAGACGCCCGUACCAAAACCGACACAGGUGGGCAGGUAGAGCAUACCGAGGCGAUCGGGAGAACCAUGGUUAAGGAACUCGGCAUACUGACUCCGUAACUUCGGGAGAAGGAGUGCCCCUGGCGGUGGAGGGACUAGCUCCCCGAGCGGCCGGGGGUCGCAGCGAAACGGCCCAAGCGACUGUUUAUCAAAAACACAGGACUCUGCAAAGCCGUAAGGCGACGUAUAGGGUCUGACGCCUGCCCGGUGCUGGAAGGUUACGCGGAUGGGUCAGCCGCAAGGCGAAGCUCUGAAGCCAAGCCCCAGUAAACGGCGGCCGUAACUAUAACGGUCCUAAGGUAGCGAAAUUCCUUGUCGGGUAAGUUCCGACCUGCACGAAUGGCGUAACGAUUUGGGCGCUGUCUCAACCAUGGACCCGGUGAAAUUGUAUUAUUCGUGAAGAUGCGAAUUACCUGCGGAAGGACGGAAAGACCCCGUGAACCUUUACUGCAGCUUGACAUUGAUCGUUGGCUCGGCGCGUAGAGGAUAGGCAGGAGGCUGCGAAGCCCGGGCGCCAGCCCGGGCGGAGCCGAC
rnacentral:rRNA from 1 species